rnacentral:lncRNA from 15 species
AUGAAAAUCUGUUUUGCAGUUGACCCAGGAGCUUUGUUAUUACCACCAGCUGAGUCGUCAUUGCUGUCCCCAAACCCCCUACAAUUACUGUUAUUUGCGGAGUGGAUUAGUGAAACAGAGAGAGGAAGAGACAGAGAGGGGAUCACGUUACCCUUGAAUAAGCAGGGUAAAAAGGGGAGGAUGUCUGCUUCAGGAAAUCACAAGACAGGACAAGGGAGGCUUGUUUUCCCCAUCCUCUUUUUAAACAGCCUUAUUCAUGCAGCAACCCCUCCUCCAUUCUGGUUCAUUCAAGGGGAUUCAAUCUCCAUUCUGGUCCCGUCACUAGCUUUGCCAAUCAAUUCCUCUCUCCCCUGUGUGGGGCCCUAAGUGUCCCUCUUUAUUCUAUAAAGUUCAUAAGAAUGGGGAGGCUUGUUCUCCUUAUUUGUAUUCUAAAUCCCAGGGAGGCACGAGAUCACAGUAGAAUGAAGGCUUUUGCAGGGAGACAGGUAGACUCAAGAGAAUUAGAGCAGAUACAUUGUAUUUCUACGCUAUCCAUCUAUAACUUGCUUGUGCAUGACAUCUGGUUACCUAUAUGCAAUAUUCAUUUAUCUGUCAAUGGAACUGUGUGGAUGUAAGCAGAUGGAGUUCUCUCUGAACUGUUAUCAGCAUGGCUGCCUCAGAGCGAAUUAAUUCACAGUGAUACAGGUAUAAUGCAGGUAGUGAAGCAAAACCUUUGACUUAAGGUAAUGGAUGGCUGGCAGCCUGAAACAUUUUUUUUUUACUCCUCUGGGUUAUUUUAGCUCCACAGUUCAUAUUAAUAUGACCUCAAUGGGACCAAAGGGUUAUGUGAGACUGAUGCAAGGGAAUGACUGAAUGAGGAGAAAGAGAGAGCAGAGUUACAUCUAAAUAUGCCAAACCGGUGUCAUCUGAAUUGAGAGAAUUAUUAUUGCACAGCUCACAGCCAUGUCUGGAAAGGCGUGGUAAUGGUCUGCCACUUGCAAUUGCUGGGAAGCGACAGAGGAAUGGGAAGGCCGGCCGUGGCUAACUUCGUUUGUACUGGAUUCUUUCCCCCCCGCCGAAUCUCUCGCCUUGGUCCUGUCGUUUUUUUUAAAAAGGACUGCAGUGGCACCCUGACCUUCAGAAAAACAUGGCUGAGCAAGCAACACUCUGUUUGAUAAUUAAAUUCUCUGGUUGGUCAGCAACCAAUCAGCUCAGCUCGUGGAUCAAUGGCUGAUUUUAAAGAGCAAACUAAUUCACUAAUGGUCAGAGUUAUUCCAAUUUACCUGGCUGCUGAAUUAUUGUGUCCAAAUCUAUUCUGGGAGGAGAAGGAUCAAUGCAAGCUGGAGAGAGGAGCGGCCGAGGGGAGACGGUUGCAUCUGUCAUGUGAAGCAGUACAAGGAGUAUGCUGUGAGGUUUAUUUGAUAGCUGCCCAGUUGAACAGCAGCAAUGCGGGGGCAGUUUAUGAGAUGGCUCUAAACGGGGACCGUCUCUAUCAUAAAGCAAACUAAUUAAUAAGGUUUCGGAGUAAGCAUGAGAGCAAGCACUGUGGAUGGUAAAGGUAUAAGGUUUUUGGAUAUUUGAUUCACAUAAGUACAUUGCUUAACCAAAGGGCAAUUAAAUUUAGCAUGAAAUAAAAAUGAAAUUAAUUUGUUCAUGAAGGAUUCUGCAGCAAGGGAAAUAAAAUUGUGACACUUAUUUUUAUUUUUUUUCCAGGCAGAUUUUUCCCUUCAAUCUGUUAUUUUUAUACACACAGCUCACCUUUUCAUUACCGUUGUGAAUGGGAGUGCUAAAUUGAUUAUCAGUAGCAUAUGUCUCUUAAACACAUAAAGUAAAAAAAGCACAGCAUUUGCUCAUAUGUUCAUCUCAUUCCAGGAGAAGGUGUUUUGAGCUGAUAGGAAAAACAGAAGGAUUCUACCUCGUUGGCCAGCAUCAGAGUCUUUCACCAAAGAGAAUGAGGUGCUAGCUAGCACAGGCAAGCCAUUUGUCACCACAUUCACUACUGCUGCUUUAUGCUACUGUGGCUGCGUUACAGAUGAAGAUUGAUCAUUUGUCAACUCGCAAAUUGGCUUUCAAGUGCUUUCUCUAAUUACUCUGUGGUUUUAUUGAUGAGAAACCACUGACUGCUUUCCUUCGAUUUACCUCGCUGGGCACAGUCUUUGUUUUGAAUAUGUUGUCUCUCACCUUCCUCUCUAAAAGCAUUAAAGGGGCAGAUAGAAUGGGGCGAAAUGCUCCAACCUUAGCAGAUUUCAAAUGCUACCUCUUGUUCCAACCUUCCACUGAAACAAUGUAAGAUUAAAGGCAAAAAUGCCAGUGCGAAUUCCAUUCCCUAAGCUGGUCACAGUCAAAAUGCACCCAGAGGAGCCCCUGACAUGAAUAAGAGCUUGAAUAGGAGUUGGAGGAUGUAAAUGACACUGUUCGCAGUGCAGUUCUUCCUUGCUCAUGCAUGUAAAUGUCAAGUGAUGUUAUCCACUGUAUGGUUUCUACUGAAUAGACCCAAAAGGUCUAGACCAAAGGAAGAUGUGAACAGGGAGAAAAAGAAUGCCUCAGUGGGAGUCUAAAUGUGUUUAUCUCUUAGAGAGUGCAUGUAAAAUAUGUAUAAUAUAAAUAUACUCAAGGUGCUCUCCUGUUUUCUGUCUGCUACAUGCACGAUUCCUUUUCUUAGUCACAUUUACUAUGCAAUCUGUGCAUUCAAUAAAAUAAAAAAUGUCAAAAAAACCUUAACAGGCAUUUAACGAAGCCGUGGCUCACCUCAAGCCCCAUUAAUAUGUUUUUUACUGUAAUUACCAGCAGAAUUUAACAGCAACCUCCUUCCUGUUUUCUUCCUUCUGUGACUGAUCUGUCAUAAUUGCUUGCGUCUGUAACAUUUUAUUCAAAUCUCACUCUCAGUGCUCUGGGGUAGGGUGUUAUGAAGUGUUGUUGCGAGGCAACUGUGAGACGCAAUUGGAUUGCAGAGCUGCAUUUUUAUUUUAGAGACAUAUGUGAGGAAAGUAUCACCUUAUCAGGGUGAGGGCAUGAUUUGCUCAUCCUAUUUCAGUAUCUGAGGUACAGGACUCUGAUAGGGAAAAUAAAUGUUUCUUGUUUUCUCAUGCUGGAUUUUAUCAGCGUGUGCACAAGAGGAAGCCUGAACAGAACAAUGCGUUUCACUCUCAAACCUGUCCCUCCCCACUUGCACUCCUAACGACCGUCAUACUUUAGCAAUUUCUACUGCCAGAUGUUUAUAUAUCCCAGAAAAAAAGUCGGUGAGAAAAAGGGAAAGAUAAGGGAAAUGUUUUGCCAGUAGUGUUAAUGCUGCUUCACCUAACCUUUUCACAACAACCUUCCACUUUUGCACAUUUUUAUUUUUAUUUUUUUGGGGGUGGGGGUUCUCUGACAGAAAUACAUAACAGCUGCUGUCCUCUCAAGAGACUGGACCACUGGCAUUAUGUGGAGAGAGGUUUUGUCCAGCUGCAGUGGGUUAUUUUUGUUCGCCUUUGCUCCACGCACUCUGAUGCAAUGCCAUCCCUGAAUUUACUGACCUAAUUUUCUUCCCAAUUUGAUGUUUACGUUCCAAUUCACCCUUUGACGAAUUGCUAAUCACGAGACUUUGGCAAGAGUUCCCUAUCUGACCAACCGCCUUGCUCUCCAGCAGCAGAAGGAAUGGGGGUGGUAAGGCGAUGGUCACUGCUUCUAUUGUUCCUAAUUCAAAGCCAUAAAUUUGCGAAAUGGAAGGAAAGCAGAGGAGCAAGCACAGACUCAGUGGGUUCCAUAAAUCAGCAAAAAUCUGCAGAGACGCAGAACAGAUGGUGAAAAUAAAAAAAGUGCUCCCAGCUCAAUUCCUUGCAGAUUAAGCAUUGCAAAGCUAAACUGCUCUGUAUUACGUAUGCCUCGUGUCAGUAUUGUGCAUGAAUAUCAAUAUUCUAAGGGUGUUCUGCACAGUGCCAGGCUCAAUCUCCCUCACAGUUAGAGUGAACUUACUCUGUGUCAACUGCAAUUUAAUGUCAUCUAUUAACCUACAGUAUGUCUCUUGCAACUGUGUGUGUUCUUGUUGAGUGUUGUAAUGUACAUUAAAGCCUCUAUCCCACAAAGACACAAAUAGCUCUAUUUGUCAUUUUUUAUAUUCAAAACUG